rnacentral:lncRNA from 1 species
GGUAGGACAUGUAUGGCAGAGAUGUGAACUGAUGACUUAUAGAGGGCUUUUGAAAUUAGACUAAGGGCAGGAUGCUAUCCUAAGGUGACAGGUUGAUGUUUCAUUCUAUGUAGUAAGUGAAAACAAAUCUAAUUUUUGCCUACAUUUUUGACAGUCCUGAUAGCACACAUCAUAUUUUGGUCUAGUACAGAGUUACUCACACUGCUCUCCUCAUUUUACUUGUUGCCCUCUCCUGCCCUCAGUGAUAUCAUAAAGCAGAUAACAGAUGAUCAGCUACAUCAUACUUUAAUGUCAUCAUCCUUUUUCACCAUGCAGUCCUAUAUUUGGUGUGGUCAUCCACUGGACUGAUUUAAGAUAGAGGAAGCAAGAGGAUCCAGAGACAAUAACAGCAAGAUUUUAAUAGAAUGAUGUCCAAGCUGUUGAAACCCAAGCCAGAGGAUAAAAUGCAGCAUAACCCCCAUACGUCUUCCAAUUUCUAACAACAGGGCAAGAAUCAAACAAACAUGAUGGCUGUUUACCACUGGCGAAUUCUAACAACAAGCAAUUUAUAUGCACUCAUCAAGGAAGAGGGAACUGAAAAAUCUGUUCGCAGUGCAGCUGAAAGUGUCAUAAUUACAGAGUGACAACCUCCACUGUCAUUUAGGAGGCAGCAUCCCCAGGAAAUCUUGCUGUGUAAUCAAGGAAAGAGGUGCAAUCAGGCCCCUAUUCAGGCUGCGUUGAGAAACACCCCUGC